GAUGAAGAACGCAGCGAAAUGCGAUAAGUAAUGUGAAUUGCAGAAUUCAGUGAAUCAUCGAAUCUUUGAACGCAUCUUGCGCUCCUUGGUACUCUGAGGAGCAUGCCUGUUUGAGUGUCAUUAAAUUCUCAACUACACUGACUUUGAAUUGGUGUGGCUUGGAUUUGGGGGGAAAAUUGUUGUGGGCUUUUUGUAUAGUCUGCUCCCCUGAAAUUGAUUAGCGGUACCUUUGUGGAACUGUCUACAGGUGUGAUAAUUAUCUACAUCUUAGACAUCUGCUGGAAUGCUGCUUUCUAAACCUUACUUGUAUUGACAAUCUUGACCUCAAAUCAGGUAGGACUACCCGCUGAACUUAAGCAUAUCAAUAAGCGGAGGA
rnacentral:misc_RNA from 1 species